GAUGAACGCUGGCGGCGUGCUUAACACAUGCAAGUCGAGCGAGUGAGUUCUUCGGAACGAUCUAGCGGCGGACGGGUGAGUAACACGUGGGCAACCUGCCUCAUAGAGGGGAAUAGCCUCCCGAAAGGGAGAUUAAUACCGCAUAAAAUUAUCGAGUGGCAUCACAUGAUAAUCAAAGGAGUAAUCCGCUAUGAGAUGGGCCCGCGGCGCAUUAGCUAGUUGGUGAGGUAACGGCUCACCAAGGCGACGACGCGUAGCCGACCUGAGAGGGUGAUCGGCCACAUUGGGACUGAGACACGGCCCAGACUCCUACGGGAGGCAGCAGUGGGGAAUAUUGCACAAUGGGGGAAACCCUGAUGCAGCAACGCCGCGUGAGUGAUGAAGGUCUUCGGAUUGUAAAGCUCUGUCUUUGGGGACGAUAAUGACGGUACCCAAGGAGGAAGCCACGGCUAACUACGUGCCAGCAGCCGCUGUAA
rnacentral:rRNA from 1 species